AGAUGAGGUCUUGCUAUGUUGGCUGGGCUGGUCUCAAACUCCUGGCUUCAAGCAGUCCUCCUGCCUCAGUUUCCCAAAGUGCUGGGAUUACAGGCAUGAACCGCUCUGCCAGGCUAAGAAGUAUGUUGACCAAAUUUAUGUGAGGGGAAGGGUAGGGGGAAAAAUGGUAUGUAAGUUUCUUAUUUUAAAAAAGAACUCUUUCUGACAACUUUGAGUCUCUUAUAUAUAAAAGUACCCAAAACAAAGUUGUUCAGU
rnacentral:lncRNA from 1 species